GACAGAGGUGCCGAGCGUUAGGCGGAAUCACUGGGCGUAAAGAGCUCGUAGGCGGUUCGAUAAGUCGGACGUGAAAUCUCCACGCUCAACGUGGAGGGGCCGUUCGAUACUGUCGUGACUCGAGUCCGGUAGGGGAGUGUGGAAUUCCCGGUGUAGCGGUGAAAUGCGCAGAUAUCAGGAGGAACACCGGUGGCGAAGGCGGUUCUCUGGGCCUUACCUGACGCUGAGGAGCGAAAGCGUGGGGAGCGAACAGG
rnacentral:rRNA from 1 species